rnacentral:lncRNA from 1 species
AUCAAGUUUAAUGUGUUUAAUCAUGUCUAUUCUUAAAUCUCUUAACCAAAUUAAAAGUUAAUCAAUCAAAGUAAAUUCUCAAUUGAUUAUAGUUGAAAUUAAUACUACCAACCAAAGUACAUUCUCAAUUGAUAGUAAAAACCAUUUAAUUAUAUGAAAGUUCCUAAAUUAAAUCAAAGUAGAUUCUCAAUUAAACCUAGAAACCCUAGAACUCAUAUAAUUAAUAUGCAUGUAGAUUCAAACACAUAAUUAUGCAAAAAUCUUUGCUUUUAAUAUGAUAGAGAGAUGAAAGACAUAGAGAGAGAUAACUUAAAUCAAUAAUCAAAAUAAACAAUUGCAUUAAAUCACUUAACCUCAAAAUCCAUAAUGAAAUUACAGCAGAAUAGCCCUAGGAGUUUAGAAACACAUAAUGAAAGUGAAAGCAGUGGUGAAUGAAUGGAUGAAUGAAUGGUGCCUUUGUGUCUCCCCUGGGUCUCUUUAUAUAGGCUCGAUUGGGCUUGGACUCUGAAUAUUCAGUUGAUAGAAUCUUUUAUCUUAUAUCUUCCAAAUAACUAAAAGAUUUAAAUAAUUAUAUUAUUAUUUGGAAGAUAUUUUCUGUUAAUAUUACCAAAUCAAAUUAAUUCAACAACUGAUUUUAUCUUUUAGCUUUUAUGACUUUCCAUAACUGCACAAAUACCCUUAUAUUUCUUCUAUUCGCAUUUUAGCCCCUUCAGAAUUCUCUUAAAAUUGCAAAAGAGCCCCCAGUUGACCAGACUUUGACUGAUUGACCAAUUUUGACUCAUAUGGAUGCAGCCAAUAAGAGUGCGCCAUGUGUCCGCCCCCCUUCCACCCAAAAUUAGGGUUCAGAUUGGGGGUAAAGGGAAUUGGAAGGCUUCAUUCUGCCUUGCUUGCGCCGCUGUUACGAAUUGGAGAGAACCCUGUGACGCGUGCUGCUUCUGAGUGAUUUGGGUUUCUUGGAUUGGAUUCUGAUUGCAGGUUCGAAGGAAAAGAUGCUUCACGGUGGCGGCUUGAUGGGUGGUCUAGGCGAGACCGUGGUAGUGCGAUUGGGUUUCUCACGGUGCUUCGAUUCGCGAUUUGAUGGUGACGGCGAGAAGUGUGGCUGGUGGUGGCGCGAUUUCGAGGAUCUGGGUUUCUGUGUUUCUGGGUUUUCUGCAGGUUGCGAAAAUGGAGGAAGAUUGAUGGAGAAGAUGAACGAAGGGUUUCGCGAUGAAGAAGACUCGCGACGAAGGCUGAACCGCGAUUCUGGGUUGCUCGUCGACGGCGACUUUGUGGUCCGGUGAUGGUCGUUCCUGCGGCGGCUAGGGUGCGGAUUGGACGCUGUGCUGGCCAUUCUUGCAGUGGCGAUGUAGAAGGAGGAAGGUGAUGUGCAAUGGUGGUCGAGGGGUCUUGUGCGAGCUCAUGAUGGAUGGUGUCUUGCGAGAUGAAGGCGUCAUGAUGGAGUUGAUCUAGAUGAAUGCAGCAGUGCUUUGGUGUUGACGGUAAGGUGACGAUGAUAGCGUGGUGGAUACCGGUGAGGACGCUUGAGGUUGACGGCGGCAGCUGGGGAAGGUGCGGCGGCUAGGGUUAGGAAGAGGAAUUAGGGUUUCUUCUGUGGAAGAUGGUGAUGACGUGGCAAGAGGGGGCUAGGUGGCAUGUUCUGAGUGGUUUAUUUGGUGAGUGCAGGGAUUAAUGAUGUGGCAUCAUCUGGAUGGUUGGAUCUAUUAGUGGGUGAAUGCCACAUGGCAUAAUCUGAUGAAGUCUAACUUAGGAAUGGUAGGAGGUGUGUGUAUAGUGAAUUAGGGGGUGUAGGCGAAAAUGGUUUCUGUUGGGCUUUAGUAAUGGCUUGGUUUAGAACUGGGGGUGCAUGUAGGGAAAUUUGGGGGUGCAAAGGUAAAAAUUGACUGUUUGGCCCAUUUGUACAUUAUUUAUGAAAUAAAAUCUGAUUUUGGGCUUUAAAUUGCAAUUUGGACCAAUAAAUCUCUAACUUCAGCUGCACAAAUAAAUAUUAGAACAUCCAAGAAUAAUUUAUGCAAUUAAAAUCACUUUUUAAGCCUCUUUAAUUCCAAAACCUAACAAUUCAACUCCACACAUAUUCACUUUAAAUCACCCAUUUUAGCACAAAAAUCUUAUCAAAAAUAUAAAUUUU